rnacentral:sRNA from 21 species
GUCAUGGACCCCGGCAUGCAUGCUGGGGCUUGCAGGCAUCCUCACCGGUGUCUGUAGGCCCGAACAUGACCAGACCCAGCCACCGACGCUGAUGCGUGCAUCAACGUUGAUGGGGCUCCGUUCUCAGGGAGUGUCAAAGAUCGUACCUGCGCGUGCGAGGCCAGCGUGCAGCUCUCCA